AUGGCUACUCGUAUCCUUAAAUCAACUAAAACCAUAAUAACAGUGAAUAUUCCACACCAAAUUCCGUGGUAAUUUUGAAACAGUGAGAAUUGAACACAUACAAGGACAUAGUAUUGGAAUUUGUAGCGGGCAAGGAGAAGAGAGUGAAUUCCUUUAGAGCCACAGCUGAUGAUGGCGUCGGUACCUCCCGCCAAGACACAGGGGUGAGCUCACUGGAGUGCCGUUAUAUUUCCAGCCUGUAUAGAGGUGACAGUGCCGUGACAGAGGUGGUGGAGGUUAUUAAUGCACCAAGGAACAGGUGUGUAAGGUGUGGCAGUGGUGUUGAUAAGGGAUUAGUGUGUAAGGAGGGAAAGAAGUGUGGUGGGCCGAGUGCACGUCUGCUCCAUGUCAACAAACUUAUGGUGACGGCCGUGUGGUGUUUGGUGUUGCUUAUACACCCCAUAAACACACUCAACACAUCCACAACAUGCCCAUAUACACCCACACACACAAAGUGAAGUGAUGACAUUCCCGACAGCACCAGCGGCGAGACAAGAGAGCAAUGCAACUCUUCACCACAACGCCUCACCAUCAUUUAUUUCAGGCUCAGGCGUGUAGAUGGAAGCAGUAGAAGAAAGAA